rnacentral:rRNA from 1 species
UACGUAGGGGGCAAGCGUUGUCCGGAAUCACUGGGCGUAAAGCGCGCGCAGGCGGCGAUCUACGUCCGGGGUGAAAGCCCAGAGCCCAACUCUGGGACUGCCUUGGAUACGGGAUCGCUUGAGGAUCGGAGAGGCAAGGGGAAUUCCACGUGUAGCGGUGAAAUGCGUAGAGAUGUGGAGGAACACCUGUGGCGAAGGCGCCUUGCUGGCCGAUUUCUGACGCUGAGGCGCGAAAGCGUGGGGAGCAAACAGG